GAGUUAAUUAGUUAAUUAUAAUAUUAAUUUGUCAAGUUAAAGUUAGAAUUAUUCCUCA
rnacentral:tRNA from 1 species